UACAGAGGGUGCAAGCGUUAAUCGGAGUUACUGGGCGUAAAGGGCGCGUAGGCGGUUUGAUGAGUGUGAUGUGAAAGCCCUGGGCUUAACCUAGGAAGCGCAUCGCAAACGAUCAGACUGGAGUAGAUGAGAGGGUGGCGGAAUUUCCGGUGUAGCGGUGAAAUGCGUAGAGAUCGGAAGGAACGUCAAUGGCGAAGGCAGCCACCUGGCAUCAUACUGACGCUGAGGCGCGAAAGCGUGGGGAGCGAACAGG
rnacentral:rRNA from 1 species